UGUCAGUCCUACAGAACAUUCUCUAUGUAGAGAGGAAAGUCACUACUGCAGAAGAGAUAACCUCCUAGGGUGCGUCCCCAGGGAUCCCAGCUUCUUCAGGCUUCUCUGAUCCAGUAAAAGUUACAAAACUUACAAUCAGUGGGGAAUUUCCUUAUUUGAAGUCUUGCCACUUCAGUGACUUUCUAAAUAGAAAUUAGAGAACCCAGAAAGGUUUUGAAAAAAUUUUUAGUUCUUCCUGGCAAUUGCAUGUAUAUUUUUUUCUGCAUGUUAUUUGGAUGUGAGGAGCUGUCAUUAUUAUUUUAGGAACAAAUAUGAAACAAUCUCUGGAAAAUGGAAUUUGAUUUUGAUUCAACAACAGGAGAAUUCUGUUUUUCUCCAGCAGCUCCACGAUAAAAGGGAACCCUGAGCAGAACACAUGCACAAACUCAUGCCAUACCCUAAGGGACAAGGUUCCCCACAUCUACUUGGAAAUCUUCGGGAUGCUCAAUGAAACACCCUCACAGACACACCCAGGAUCAAUACUUUGCAUCCUUCAAUCCAAUCAAGUUGACAUUCAGUAUUAAACAUCACAAGGCACACAGAUUCUCCCUCCACUUGCUGCUGCUGGAGGGUAAGGGAGAAGUGCUGUAUACAGGGCAGGCCUGCCUUUCCUAACCCCAUCGGUGCCUCUUUCCUUGAUAUGAUGUCAGAAUCAGAUUAGCUCUUUGGAACUGAGAGAUGAGAUGAGGCCUGGAAAACUUCCCCCAGUACAGUCAAGUUCCUGUUGACUAAUUCUGUGACCACCAGUGACAGUCUUUGAGUCCGUGAGGCAGCGUUGCGGCAGCACAGGCUUUGCUUGGAGUUGGAUGGUUCGCACCCUGCUUGGCAUGGUUUCUAAGAGACAUCCUCUGAGUGGAUGAGGGGAGAAUCCAGCAGGCCUCUAGUCACACUGGAGAAAAACAAGGAGAGAAAAAUCUAAACCCAGCAGAAGAGAAAGUUUAAGAAAGCGGUCGUCGCCAAUACCAAAAUUAGCUAUGAUAUUCAGGAAGAAAAAAAUGGAAACACGAUAACCACAUUCAAUAAAGACCAAGGCCGGAUUCCAUUGGCCAGAGCUCAGCCACGCGCCACACCUGGCUAAAGAGACUCUGGCUGAAGAAUUCCCUGAAUAUUUUAAUGUAGCUCUAGGUUAUAACACAGAACAACCACAAGGUGGCAGAAGAACUCCAUUCUUGUAAAUCUCUUAGUUGCUUCUUUAUUUCAUCUUCCCUAUUCCAUCUAAUGUUCCCUGAAUUUUACUAUUUUGUUGGUUUGAAAAUAUGUGUGACUUACGUCCUUUAAAGGAUUUGGUUCCUAAGGUUUUGAAUAGACUGGAAUAUAAAACAUUUAUAGAAAAGAAAAAUACCUACAGUAUGAUGUUAGUGAACUAUUAAUAAUUAAUCCAAUUAAAUAAAAUAUAUUUGCUUUGGAUUAAUACAUAUUUUGUUUUGAUGUUUGCUAAAUAACACUAAGCAUUAGGAGGUCAAAUAGCCACAACGAACAUUUUCAUAUUAUUUAAUAAGCCAGUUUCAAGGCAUACAUGCUAAAUUUGUUCUUAAGGAAAAGUUGAAUUUUUGCUUUCAUGAAAUUACAAACUCUAAGGCAAUUUUACACGUGUAAAUCCAAUGUGUUCUGAAGUUUAAAGUGUCAAAGGCUGUUGGAUUUAAACAGAUCUUGUAUGACUCUCUGUUUCAUCUCUUCAGAGGUUGAUAGUAAGCAACUUUGGCAGCAACUCACAGCUUCUGCUGUAACAUGAGGCUAAUAAUGACGACUUUAUAAGGUUGUUGCAAAGAGUCAGGGAUGCCACAAGCAACGUUCUUUAUAUAUGCAGAAUUUUAAAAAUAAAGUAAAUAAAAAUAUUCCUUCCUCUAUUCCCAAUUUUUCUAACAUUAUUUGCAACUGGUGUUUUAAUGCAAGACCAAAGGCUAAAAUAUACAUGUAGCUAGCAGAAUCAAAACCUAGAUCAGAUGUUCAAAAGCAUCAUGCUGCUAAAAGAUUUCAGAGUCUAAAACCUGUGCUCACUGUUCUGAAACAUCUUUCCACUUCCUGUUUAAAAAAAACCAUGAUAUUCUUUGAAGCUCAUUUUUUGGGCUUCAUGUGUUGUAAUUAUACAUUUGUUAUAUAGGGUAUAUGAUGACUUACGCUCUAAGGUGUUAUUCAGUACAUUGUAGAAAAAGGAGAAUAAAGAAUGUUGUUUGUCAGUAGGCAGCUCUGUCCUCUUUAUCCUUGACUGUAAUUUACUAAAGAGCUGACAAAAUUACAGCACAGGCAGCAAUUCACCAUAUUACCCUGCAGACAGCCAAGAGACUGACAUUGAGACGAUGCGUUUUAACUUGGGUCCAUGUAAGGAACCUGAUGGGGUUAUAUGAAUUCUUUUCUGUACUAUGAAAAAAUGAAGUUGCUUAUAAGAAGGAGGUACAAAAGUGUGUACUCUGCGCAAGGCUACUGAUAAAGAUGCUACAGGGAUGCGUGGAAACCCAAUAUGUAACACUGAAAUGGCUUUUGAUUCAUUUGUAUUUGGUCUCAGACAAGAAAAUAGAUUAAGAAAAGGUCUGAAAAAAUGGAGCACUAGGAAAAAUGAUAGGAAAUUUUGUGUUGUUGACUAACAGUUAUCUAAUAUGAAAUACACGUUUGUAAUAUUUUGACAUAUAUGAUUUAAUACAACUAUAUUUUGUAAUAAAUAUCUUUAAUUCUAAGGAUUGAAAAUCUUAAAA